rnacentral:rRNA from 1 species
CAAGUCACGGGGGCCCGCAAGGGUAACCGGCGAACGGGUGCGUAACACGUGAGCAAUCUGCCGUACACUGGGGGAUAGCCGGCCCAACGGCCGGGUAAUACCGCAUACGCUCCUUUGGCGGCAUCGCUGAGGGAGGAAACCUCCGGGGGUGUACGAGGAGCUCGCGGCCUAUCAGGUAGUUGGUGGGGUCACGGCCUACCAAGCCAUUGACGGGUAGCUGGUCUGAGAGGAUGGCCAGCCACAUUGGGACUGAGAUACGGCCCAGACUCCUACGGGAGGCAGCAGUGGGGAAUAUUGCGCAAUGGCCGCAAGGCUGACGCAGCGACGCCGCGUGGGGGAUGAAGCAUUUCGGUGUGUAAACCCCUGUUGCUCGGGACGAACAGCUCUUUUCGAGGAGCCUGACGGUACCGGGUGAGGAAGCACCGGCUAACUCCGUGCCAGCAGCCGCGGUAAUACGGAGGGUGCGAGCGUUGUCCGGAAUCACUGGGCGUAAAGGGCGCGUAGGUGGUCUGCUAAGCGUGCGGUGAAAGCCCGGGGCUCAACCCCGGGUCGGCCGUGCGAACUGGUGGACUGGAGCACUGUAGAGGCAGGUGGAAUUCCGGGUGUAGCGGUGGAAUGCGUAGAGAUCCGGAAGAACACCGGUGGCGAAGGCGGCCUGCUGGGCAGUUGCUGACACUGAGGCGCGACAGCGUGGGGAGCAAACAGGAUUAGAUACCCUGGUAGUCCACGCCGUAAACGAUGGGGACUAGGUGCUUGGGGGAGCGACCCCUCGAGUGCCGGCGCUAACGCAUUAAGUCCCCCGCCUGGGGAGUACGGCCGCAAGGCUGAAACUCAAAGGAAUUGACGG